AUUGAACGCUGGCGGCAUGCUUUACACAUGCAAGUCGAACGGCAGCGCGGGGCAACCUGGCGGCGAGUGGCGAACGGGUGAGUAAUAUAUCGGAACGUACCCAGAAGUGGGGGAUAACGUAGCGAAAGUUACGCUAAUACCGCAUACGAUCUACGGAUGAAAGUAGGGGACCGCAAGGCCUUAUGCUUUUGGAGCGGCCGAUAUCUGAUUAGCUAGUUGGUGAGGUAAAGGCUCACCAAGGCGACGAUCAGUAGCUGGUCUGAGAGGACGACCAGCCACACUGGAACUGAGACACGGUCCAGACUCCUACGGGAGGCAGCAGUGGGGAAUUUUGGACAAUGGGCGCAAGCCUGAUCCAGCAAUGCCGCGUGAGUGAAGAAGGCCUUCGGGUUGUAAAGCUCUUUUGUCAGGGAAGAGACGGUAGAGGCUAAUAUCCUUUGCUAAUGACGGUACCUGAAGAAUAAGCACCGGCUAACUACGUG
rnacentral:rRNA from 1 species